GUACAAGCUUACGACAAGUUUGUUAUUUGAGACAUUAUUCCCGUUUCGAAUCCGGCAUUAUGAACCUUUUCACGACCUUGCUCCUUGCGGCAGCCAUUUUGGCCUUUGCGAGCGGUGUCUUGGCCAGGGAUGAUUCCGUACCAUUUUUCUCACAAUCAGCAGAAGAAAAGCCGAAACAUUCAAAAUUCUCGAAGUUCGCACGGAAAACGCAUCACGCCACAUCCAAAAAGCCCCGUCUUCUCCUCAAGAGCCCCAUCCUGUGGCCCAGACCCGGUAAACUGGGUACCGGACAAUAGAUAAUAAAAACCGGAUGAAAUUAAACCGUCCGGCAUGAGCGUACGCGUACAAAGUGUUUCCAGAAUUUGUUAACUGCAAUCCGAAGAAACCUGGAUUAGUGAACUAACUAGUAAUUCGCGGUUGUAUCUGUAAAAAAACUGCUUUAACUUUAUCAGAAUCGGUUGCGCUAGUUUGAUAAACUCUCUGAUAAUAUUAAAGUGUUACAUCAUGUACAGUUUGAACCAUGUGACGCAUUAAAUGACUCGGAAAAGAAAAUUAGCUCAU